AUUUACUUGUUUGGCGCUUGGGGAUGUUCGAGGCCCAUAUGGUGCCGUGGAUUUGAGGCCUCCUUGCUGGUUCCCAAACUGCGUUAUCAUUUUUUGUCUUGGGGUUUCCCCAUUGGAUCAGGCGUGUUUCUUGGACCAAUGAGACUGAAAUGUGCGGGAGCCUGCGACACAUGAUUUCCAAUUAGUUCAAGGAAGCUGAUGGUCGCGAUCUCCCUGCCGGUGGAACCGCCGACCGACCUUGCUAUCCUGAUAGAGACUCGAACGAGAGCAUACCUGUUGUGACCCAAAUUAUGGGAGCUAUGACUGAAAGGGGAAAUGAAAGAAAAAGCUUCUUUGGAGGCCCGUGUGCAAUCUGACAAAAAAAUGGAUCAUGUGCCUUUUCUAUCUGUUUACAAGASUAAGCGAACCGACUAUACGCU
rnacentral:rRNA from 1 species